GGGUUGUGAGGUUAAGCGACUAAGCGUACACGGUGGAUGCCCUGGCAGUCAGAGGCGAUGAAGGACGUGCUAAUCUGCGAUAAGCGUCGGUAAGGUGAUAUGAACCGUUAUAACCGGCGAUUUCCGAAUGGGGAAACCCAGUGUGAUUCGUCACACUAUCAUUAACUGAAUCCAUAGGUUAAUGAGGCGAACCGGGGGAACUGAAACAUCUAAGUACCCCGAGGAAAAGAAAUCAACCGAGAUUCCCCCAGUAGCGGCGAGCGAACGGGGAGGAGCCCAGAGCCUGAAUCAGUGUGUGUGUUAGUGGAAGCGUCUGGAAAGGCGCGCGAUACAGGGUGACAGCCCCGUACACAAAAAUGCACAUACUGUGAGCUCGAUGAGUAGGGCGGGACACGUGGUAUCCUGUCUGAAUAUGGGGGGACCAUCCUCCAAGGCUAAAUACUCCUGACUGACCGAUAGUGAACCAGUACCGUGAGGGAAAGGCGAAAAGAACCCCGGCGAGGGGAGUGAAAAAGAACCUGAAACCGUGUACGUACAAGCAGUGGGAGCACGCUUAGGCGUGUGACUGCGUACCUUUUGUAUAAUGGGUCAGCGACUUAUAUUCUGUAGCAAGGUUAACCGAAUAGGGGAGCCGAAGGGAAACCGAGUCUUAACUGGGCGUUAAGUUGCAGGGUAUAGACCCGAAACCCGGUGAUCUAGCCAUGGGCAGGUUGAAGGUUGGGUAACACUAACUGGAGGACCGAACCGACUAAUGUUGAAAAAUUAGCGGAUGACUUGUGGCUGGGGGUGAAAGGCCAAUCAAACCGGGAGAUAGCUGGUUCUCCCCGAAAGCUAUUUAGGUAGCGCCUCGUGAAUUCAUCUCCGGGGGUAGAGCACUGUUUCGGCAAGGGGGUCAUCCCGACUUACCAACCCGAUGCAAACUGCGAAUACCGGAGAAUGUUAUCACGGGAGACACACGGCGGGUGCUAACGUCCGUCGUGAAGAGGGAAACAACCCAGACCGCCAGCUAAGGUCCCAAAGUCAUGGUUAAGUGGGAAACGAUGUGGGAAGGCCCAGACAGCCAGGAUGUUGGCUUAGAAGCAGCCAUCAUUUAAAGAAAGCGUAAUAGCUCACUGGUCGAGUCGGCCUGCGCGGAAGAUGUAACGGGGCUAAACCAUGCACCGAAGCUGCGGCAGCGACGCUGAUGCGUUGUUGGGUAGGGGAGCGUUCUGUAAGCCUGCGAAGGUGUGCUGUGAGGCAUGCUGGAGGUAUCAGAAGUGCGAAUGCUGACAUAAGUAACGAUAAAGCGGGUGAAAAGCCCGCUCGCCGGAAGACCAAGGGUUCCUGUCCAACGUUAAUCGGGGCAGGGUGAGUCGACCCCUAAGGCGAGGCCGAAAGGCGUAGUCGAUGGGAAACAGGUUAAUAUUCCUGUACUUGGUGUUACUGCGAAGGGGGGACGGAGAAGGCUAUGUUGGCCGGGCGACGGUUGUCCCGGUUUAAGCGUGUAGGCUGGUUUUCCAGGCAAAUCCGGAAAAUCAAGGCUGAGGCGUGAUGACGAGGCACUACGGUGCUGAAGCAACAAAUGCCCUGCUUCCAGGAAAAGCCUCUAAGCAUCAGGUAACAUCAAAUCGUACCCCAAACCGACACAGGUGGUCAGGUAGAGAAUACCAAGGCGCUUGAGAGAACUCGGGUGAAGGAACUAGGCAAAAUGGUGCCGUAACUUCGGGAGAAGGCACGCUGAUAUGUAGGUGAAGUCCCUCGCGGAUGGAGCUGAAAUCAGUCGAAGAUACCAGCUGGCUGCAACUGUUUAUUAAAAACACAGCACUGUGCAAACACGAAAGUGGACGUAUACGGUGUGACGCCUGCCCGGUGCCGGAAGGUUAAUUGAUGGGGUUAGCGCAAGCGAAGCUCUUGAUCGAAGCCCCGGUAAACGGCGGCCGUAACUAUAACGGUCCUAAGGUAGCGAAAUUCCUUGUCGGGUAAGUUCCGACCUGCACGAAUGGCGUAAUGAUGGCCAGGCUGUCUCCACCCGAGACUCAGUGAAAUUGAACUCGCUGUGAAGAUGCAGUGUACCCGCGGCAAGACGGAAAGACCCCGUGAACCUUUACUAUAGCUUGACACUGAACAUUGAGCCUUGAUGUGUAGGAUAGGUGGGAGGCUUUGAAGUGUGGACGCCAG
rnacentral:rRNA from 1 species